rnacentral:rRNA from 1 species
CGCGAGCUGGGUUCAGAACGUCGUGAGACAGUUCGGUCCCUAUCCGUCGUGGGCGCAGGAAAUUUGAGAGGAUCUGUCCUUAGUACGAGAGGACCGGGAUGGACAUACCUCUGGUGUACCAGUUGUUCUGCCAAGAGCACCGCUGGGUAGCUACGUAUGGAUUAGAUAAUCGCUGAAAGCAUCUAAGUGAGAAACUAACCUCGAGAUGAGAUUUCCCAUUCGUCAGAAGUAAGACCCCUGAGAGACGAUCAGGUAGAUAGGCUAGAAGUGGAAGUGUAGUGAUGCAUGGAGCGGACUAGUACUAAUAGGUCGAGGACUUAACCAAG